CAUCUGCCGCCGACGCAAUAUCGCCCACGGUGGCGGAGAAUAUCCAAUAGCUCCCAAUUUAUACCAUAAGACCAUAUUCCCUCCCUCUUCAUGGAUCUGUCAAGAUCUUCAUUCAAAACCCACCAGAAUUCCCCAAAAAUUCAAAACACUAGCAACCGCCCUUGUUCCUCCGGUGGGCGCCACUAUCCAACCACCCCCAAAUUCACACCAAGCCAUCACCACAUCCUCCCCAUCUCAAAUCUCCCUUCCAUUUGUCUCAAAACCCUCUGAAUCUUCUCGAAUAUUAAUUCAAAAGAGACUGCCAAAACCCUACCACCACCUAUCAACCUUAAAAUUACACCAGAUAACCACCACACCCCCUCACCUCAUAUAUCUUACCAAUUGCUCUAAAAAUCCCUUCAAGAUUUUCGAAUUUAAGAUCUGUGAUUCAGAAGAGACCCUAGCUCGAGGAUAUCACUGAUGCACGGUCAGGUUGUGUCCUUCUUUGCUCAUAACACUCUUUCUUUUUCCUAUCUUUUUUUUUAUGAUCGUUUGCCUCCAAUUCUGAUUUCUUCUUCUUUCAUUUUCUUUUGGUCAAAUUCUGACGUUUUCCUUGCUUGAACGAGUGUCAAAUUGCAAUGAUUUACAUCAAUUUAUUCAGGUUAAUUUGUGCAUCCCGAUAUCUAAAAUGAUUUAGCUUCGUAUGUGCCAAGAUAUGUCAUUUUUAGUUUCGGAUAAUCUCUGGUAUUGAUUUAUUUUGUUUUUACUCCCAAUAUUUAUUAGUUGAUUAGGUUAAUUUGGAUAAUGUUUAAUUGUUCGAACUUGACUUUGUCUGUAUGGUCAGCUCACAGGCUCAAAUAGUCAUGUUUGGCUAAUCCUAAUUUCAAGUUAAAGUUUGUGAGUGUGAUUGAAAACUUAGUUCAAAUUCAAGAGCUGAAAUGCAACAUCAUUUAACUAAAGGUCUUAAAAAUGGUUGAGGUAAUUUAAAAUCAGGACAUAUCGCAAAAUUGAAAUACCCAGUAACUAAAAGGGUAAAUGGGGAAAUAAGCUUUAGAGAAUCUUGCAAUAAUAGAAAUAGAAGCCCCUUAAGGUUUGAGUUGCAAUUUAUGAUUCUUGAUAGUAUUACUUGGGUAGCAAGUCAGGAAUCUAGGGGUAACUUAGUUAAAACAAAAAAUUCAAAAAGGGUAAGGGGUAAAAACUAAUUCUGAUGUUUGCCAUACUAAAUCGCCUAUAAAGGCAUUGGGUACUUGCCUUGUAGAUUAGGUUUUGGAGAUAAAAAAAGUUCUAAAAAAAUCUGAAAAUUUCGAAAUAAGAGUUUUUGAAGCUUGAGAGCCUAAAUUUAGAAAGUCUGCAGAUUUCUUAUGAGUUUGAGAGAAUCUGAAAUUUGAAGAGCCUAGAAUAGAGGGAGAUUUUCAGGAACUUCAGAGAUUUCUUCAAAAAAAUAAUGUUCCAUUGACUCUUGCUAUUGAAUUAUGAAGUUAAAACAACAUUUGG
rnacentral:lncRNA from 1 species